GGGUUGUGAGGUUAAGCGACUAAGCGUACACGGUGGAUGCCCUGGCAGUCAGAGGCGAUGAAGGACGUGCUAAUCUGCGAUAAGCGUCGGUGAGGUGAUAUGAACCGUUAUAACCGGCGAUUUCCGAAUGGGGAAACCCAGUGUGUUUCGACACACUAUCAUUAACUGAAUCCAUAGGUUAAUGAGGCGAACCGGGGGAACUGAAACAUCUAAGUACCCCGAGGAAAAGAAAUCAACCGAGAUUCCCCCAGUAGCGGCGAGCGAACGGGGAGGAGCCCAGAGCCUGAAUCAGUGUGUGUGUUAGUGGAAGCGUCUGGAAAGGCGUGCGAUACAGGGUGACAGCCCCGUACACAAAAAUGCACAUAUUGUGAGCUCGAUGAGUAGGGCGGGACACGUGGUAUCCUGUCUGAAUAUGGGGGGACCAUCCUCCAAGGCUAAAUACUCCUGACUGACCGAUAGUGAACCAGUACCGUGAGGGAAAGGCGAAAAGAACCCCGGCGAGGGGAGUGAAAAAGAACCUGAAACCGUGUACGUACAAGCAGUGGGAGCCUCUUAAUGGGGUGACUGCGUACCUUUUGUAUAAUGGGUCAGCGACUUAUAUUCUGUAGCAAGGUUAACCGAAUAGGGGAGCCGAAGGGAAACCGAGUCUUAACUGGGCGUUAAGUUGCAGGGUAUAGACCCGAAACCCGGUGAUCUAGCCAUGGGCAGGUUGAAGGUUGGGUAACACUAACUGGAGGACCGAACCGACUAAUGUUGAAAAAUUAGCGGAUGACUUGUGGCUGGGGGUGAAAGGCCAAUCAAACCGGGAGAUAGCUGGUUCUCCCCGAAAGCUAUUUAGGUAGCGCCUCGUGAAUUCAUCUCCGGGGGUAGAGCACUGUUUCGGCAAGGGGGUCAUCCCGACUUACCAACCCGAUGCAAACUGCGAAUACCGGAGAAUGUUAUCACGGGAGACACACGGCGGGUGCUAACGUCCGUCGUGAAGAGGGAAACAACCCAGACCGCCAGCUAAGGUCCCAAAGUCAUGGUUAAGUGGGAAACGAUGUGGGAAGGCCCAGACAGCCAGGAUGUUGGCUUAGAAGCAGCCAUCAUUUAAAGAAAGCGUAAUAGCUCACUGGUCGAGUCGGCCUGCGCGGAAGAUGUAACGGGGCUAAACCAUGCACCGAAGCUGCGGCAGCGACACUAUGUGUUGUUGGGUAGGGGAGCGUUCUGUAAGCCUGUGAAGGUGGCCUGUGAGGGUUGCUGGAGGUAUCAGAAGUGCGAAUGCUGACAUAAGUAACGAUAAAGCGGGUGAAAAGCCCGCUCGCCGGAAGACCAAGGGUUCCUGUCCAACGUUAAUCGGGGCAGGGUGAGUCGACCCCUAAGGCGAGGCCGAAAGGCGUAGUCGAUGGGAAACAGGUUAAUAUUCCUGUACUUGGUGUUACUGCGAAGGGGGGACGGAGAAGGCUAUGUUGGCCGGGCGACGGUUGUCCCGGUUUAAGCGUGUAGGCUGGUUUUCCAGGCAAAUCCGGAAAACCAAGGCUGAGGCGUGAUGACGAGGCACUACGGUGCUGAAGCGACAAAUGCCCUGCUUCCAGGAAAAGCCUCUAAGCAUCAGGUAACAUCAAAUCGUACCCAAAACCGACACAGGUGGUCAGGUAGAGAAUACCAAGGCGCUUGAGAGAACUCGGGUGAAGGAACUAGGCAAAAUGGUGCCGUAACUUCGGGAGAAGGCACGCUGAUAUGUAGGUGAAGCGACUUGCUCGUGGAGCUGAAAUCAGUCGAAGAUACCAGCUGGCUGCAACUGUUUAUUAAAAACACAGCACUGUGCAAACACGAAAGUGGACGUAUACGGUGUGACGCCUGCCCGGUGCCGGAAGGUUAAUUGAUGGGGUUAGCGGUAACGCGAAGCUCUUGAUCGAAGCCCCGGUAAACGGCGGCCGUAACUAUAACGGUCCUAAGGUAGCGAAAUUCCUUGUCGGGUAAGUUCCGACCUGCACGAAUGGCGUAAUGAUGGCCAGGCUGUCUCCACCCGAGACUCAGUGAAAUUGAACUCGCUGUGAAGAUGCAGUGUACCCGCGGCAAGACGGAAAGACCCCGUGAACCUUUACUAUAGCUUGACACUGAACAUUGAGCCUUGAUGUGUAGGAUAGGUGGGAGGCUUUGAAGUGUGGACGCCAGUCUGCAUGGAGCCGACCUUGAAAUACCACCCUUUAAUGUUUGAUGUUCUAACGUUGGCCCGUAAUCCGGGUUGCGGACAGUGUCUGGUGGGUAGUUUGACUGGGGCGGUCUCCUCCUAAAGAGUAACGGAGGAGCACGAAGGUUGGCUAAUCCUGGUCGGACAUCAGGAGGUUAGUGCAAUGGCAUAAGCCAGCUUGACUGCGAGCGUGACGGCGCGAGCAGGUGCGAAAGCAGGUCAUAGUGAUCCGGUGGUUCUGAAUGGAAGGGCCAUCGCUCAACGGAUAAAAGGUACUCCGGGGAUAACAGGCUGAUACCGCCCAAGAGUUCAUAUCGACGGCGGUGUUUGGCACCUCGAUGUCGGCUCAUCACAUCCUGGGGCUGAAGUAGGUCCCAAGGGUAUGGCUGUUCGCCAUUUAAAGUGGUACGCGAGCUGGGUUUAGAACGUCGUGAGACAGUUCGGUCCCUAUCUGCCGUGGGCGCUGGAGAACUGAGGGGGGCUGCUCCUAGUACGAGAGGACCGGAGUGGACGCAUCACUGGUGUUCGGGUUGUCAUGCCAAUGGCACUGCCCGGUAGCUAAAUGCGGAAGAGAUAAGUGCUGAAAGCAUCUAAGCACGAAACUUGCCCCGAGAUGAGUUCUCCCUGACUCCUUGAGGGUCCUGAAGGAACGUUGAAGACGACGACGUUGAUAGGCCGGGUGUGUAAGCGCAGCGAUGCGUUGAGCUAACCGGUACUAAUGAACCG
rnacentral:rRNA from 1 species